CACCAGCACUAGUCCAAUCUCCCCCCUCGCUUAUCCUGCACGUUUAGAAAUACAUGCAGAAUACGCAGUAGGCAUAAGCCAAAAAAUAAUGAAAGCUUGCUCUUAGAGCUAUAAAUUGAAGUUGCCACAAUUUAAGCAACACACAGGGAUUUUAGUAUAAACGAACCUGUGCAUGCAAUUUAACAAAUCAUAAACAUCACAAAAAAAUUAACUGCGCAGUUUAAACAUUCAUAAAGCAUGUACCACGUCCACUAUUCAUCAUCAAAGGUACUGAGAAGUAGGCCUCCCUCUCAAGUACCGUGACCGGCCGACCCGAUAAACGGCUCACAGUCACCUCUGUGCACAAAAUCCCGCUUGUGGCAGGACCGAGUUCGUCUCAUCAGUAUAGGGGAACAUACAAGCUCAUCAUUAUCAAAAAUUGGCAAGUCAAUUAAUUUAAACAUAACUUCAAUUCAAUCAUUCAUCAUUGAAAAUUUUCAUCAAACGAAAAUUUAACAGUUAAAUUAUAUCAUUCAUUUCAUCUCGUAUAAGAGGCCUAUGACACACGGGGGAUUUCUAUAUACGUAGUAAAAAUAAUGCCCACCUGAUGGUCUUAGCUUACUCUUGUAGCACUCGGGUGGACUCACUUCCGUUCUUUGCUCGUAUCUUCAGAUAGCAUAACAUCGGAGAUAGUUCAUGAUAAGAAUAAAAGGAAUCGGUCAGAAACUUCCUUACCAAGGAUACCAUUCCUAUCUUAGUACUAUUCUUUCUCUCCUCAUUAAUACACUCCGACUAUCUCAAUCUAAUAUGCAUAACCGCUACUUAAUUAAUCGCCAAUCCUACUCUCAACUUAACACUCACAUAGAACUAAACAACAUCAACAAACAAACACACAAAUAUACAUACACAGAAAGUCAUAUAAUCUCACAUUAGUACAUAGAAGAAUUAAUAAAGUUCAUUCACAU
rnacentral:lncRNA from 1 species